GCUGGGCAUGGUGACGCAUGCCUGUAAUCCCAGGUACUUGGGAGGCUGAGGCAAGAGAAUCGCUUGAAUCCAGGAGGCAGAGAUUGCAGUGAGCCAAGAUCGUGCCACUGCACUCCAGCCUGGGUAACAGAGCGAGACUCCACCUUAA
rnacentral:SRP_RNA from 1 species